GUUGAACGAAGUUUAGCUACAUAGUUCAAAUUUGGUGCUUAGUGAAAAAAAAAAUCCAACAGAUCUUCACUUUCCCAAACAGGAACUACAAGAGACAAUCGGACACUGUUUGUAGCAGUGAUAUUAUACUGAAUAAUAACCUGAUGAACAGGCUUUACUUAAACGGACAGUAUAGUCGACAAAACUAUAAUGCUUAAUGAAGCAGUUUUGGUGCAUAGAUAAUGCCCUCACAGUCUCACUGCUUAAUUCUCUGCCAUUUAAGAGUUACAUCACUUUGUUUAUGCAACCCUAGUCACACCUCCUUGCAUGUGACUUGCACAUUCUUCCUAAACACUUCCUGUAAAGUCAUCUAAUGUUUACACUUCUU